rnacentral:rRNA from 1 species
UGGGGAAUAUUGCACAAUGGGCGAAAGCCUGAUGCAGCAACGCCGCGUGAGUGAUGAAGGCCUUCGGGUUGUAAAGCUCUGUCUUCUGGGACGAUAAUGACGGUACCAGAGGAGGAAGCCACGGCUAACUACGUGCCAGCAGCCGCGGUAAUACGUAGGUGGCAAGCGUUGUCCGGAUUUACUGGGCGUGAAGGGCGCGUAGGCGGCGCGGUAAGUCACUUGUGAAAUCUCUGAGCUUAACUCAGAACGGCCAAGUGAUACUGCUGUGCUAGAGUGCGGAAGAGGCUACCGGAAUUCUUGGUGUAGCGGUGAAAUGCGUAGAUAUCAAGAGGAACACCUGAGGCGAAGGCGGGUUGCUGGGCCGACACUGACGCUGAUGCGCGAAAGCCAGGGGAGCAAACG